CUGAAAAUUCUGUACAUGUAGUACAUAAGGAAACAUCUAGCGAUAAGAUUCAUAGACCUAAUAGGAUUAGGAGUACCCUUUUAUUUCUCCAUAAAUACUACAAUCCAAAUAAAAUUUUAGGUACUGAUUGGUGAACCCUCUCUCGAGUCCCUCCGUUAAAUCAUAUUUCAAGCAACUUUGGUGCGACCGUGUGGUGAUAUGAAGAACUUGAUUGGUAAGGCUUCUUGUUGGAUUUGCCAGGAGAGUUUCAGCACCACAAUAACAGCUUUAACUGAACCCAUAGACAUAUCACAGAUAUGGUGAAUGGAUUGACGAAUGCGAGUGGGUCAACAACCUCGAAGAUGAUGCUGCAAUUAGGAAGCUGCUUAGAUGUUCAUAAUUCUGGGUCUCUUCUGGAUGGGGAGAUCAGCAAAACCAGAGAGUAAUAAAUAAUAAUGUGUGAUUAUUGUGUAAUUAGCAUGCAUUGAGAGAACCUUGUUGGUAAUGGGGUUGUAUUCCUGACUCCCUUAUAUGGGAGAUCAUCUAUUGCAUUUACUAUGCUUUUCAGAUGACAAUGGUAAAUAUAUGAGCUUUGCAACUUGGUUUGUGGUUAUAAAUUCAUUUCUGGGUUUGUUGAA